GGCUCUUGUCAGUGAGAGCAAGAGGAAAGAGCUGCUCUUUUUGCACAGACCAGAUGCAGUAGUACCGUAAGGAAAAAAGAAAAGGCUGCCUCUUCCUUUUGUUCUGAGCACCCUGUGACAUCCUCCGAUUGACCGAGCUGUUGCUUGCUGCUUGCUGGGUGCAUCUGUCUGGAAAUGUGUCUGGUGCUUUUUCUAACUGUGCCAAGUGACUGCAGGUAAGAGAGAGCAACAGCCUUGCAGUGAAGGCCAGUGAGAUCCAAAGGCCACCGCAUUCCUGCUGUCACGAUGACGGUACUUAGUCACCCUAUUUGCUACCGAGCUGCAGGAAGGAGCCUGUAGCACCGAGGAGAGGGGGCAGCGAGUGCUUUCCCAGUCUAGAGGCUGUGUGCCCUGCCCCAAUCCUACUGGGGUCACUGCUGGAGAUGAGCUGGCACACACUGCUGCAGCAGGGCACCGUGGAGCACUGUAAAAGAAGCAGCUUCCAGUGGUUCAGAAAGGAUAUAAGCAGAGCACCAUGCAUGAAAAUUGCUUUACAGAUGCAGGUGACUGUGCAAGAGACACCAAUGGUCACAGGAUGUACAGCUCUUGCCAUGGAUGUGUGCAGCAGCCACGGUGCUUUGCACACAUGAGCAGGGUUGGAGCCCAGGCCAACAUUUCUGCCCUUUGCUGGAAUGAAGAACCGUUCCCAGCGAGAGUUACAGAUACGUUAAAGGGUUUUACAGCUGUUGGGGUGACUUUGGCUCACUUUGAGCUCCUGAAAGCUGCCGUGUUUUCCUGCAGGAAGGACAGUGAGAUCAUCUCAUGUUCAGGGUGCUAACCAUUUUGACUGUUUCUGGUACAGUAAAAUCUGGAUUAGGCCCCUUAAGCUCCUCCCUAAAAAUUAAUACAAAGCAUUAUCUUAAAAAUUAAACUACUCCAGAAAGCAAUGGCUCCAUUUUCAAAGACAGGCCACGUACACUCUCUUACAGGAAUGUACUCCAUGCACACAAGGUGGACUAAGUGGACAAGGACAGAAUUUACCCUAGAGAUACUGCUGUCCUGAAACAGAAGCCAAUUCUGGGCUUUGUGAACUUCCCAUGAUGGAGCAUCUCUCCCCACUGGCACGUGACUGUGGUCCUGAGCCACCAGCCUCCUCAAGGAAGAACUACUCUUCAUGAAUCCUUCUCUUUAUGGCAGUUGGGACUGUUGCUUUGCUUUUGGGACUGUCUGACUUUUAGUUAGAGCUUACACAGAACAUUUUCACGCCUGGUAGAUGACAAAAUUCCCUAGUUUAAGUCUGUUGAUUAGUUUUUAAAGUGUUCCUGAGGGUAAUUAUCUGUUUUUCUGUGAGUCAGUACUUCAACUGUUGCACGAGUAAAAGGUGGGUUGACUCAAUCCAACUUUUAAAGAGCCCCAAUGAGCAAUACAUUGAUUAAGCCUUGUUUUCAGUGUAGAAUUCAACUUGAGGAAAGCCAGGCCUGUAAGAAAAGCUAAAGAAAAAUUUCUUUUUUUUUGCUCUGUGGAAAUUUUCAUGCAAACUUAUCAGCUUUGAAAAAGGAUGAUGAGCUCUCCUGUACUGGCAGAAGGAGUACUUCUAGCACUAAAGCUACAGCAGAGGGAAAGCUUUUGAGGCCUGUGGUAGAACUAUGCAGACAAAAGCCUUCCCUUGGAGCUUACUGUAUUGACUAGGACUGAAUCACAGUGGAGACCUGAGGGGAAAACCCUUCAAAUAAGCCUAAUGUGAGCAACUCAGUAAGAGUUUGAUGGAAGUCUGCAGUGUGAAGACUGAAUAACAUGGUCAGAAAAAGAUAAAGAUACGAGAAUGACAGACAAGUAGUCUGAGCAAUUCUUCUGGUGCAAGUUUUGAGUUACUUUUGCUGAAGGCUGUUUCAUCUUCCCAGCAAUCUUGAUUGAAAUAAAGUUGUACAUACUUGAUUUCAAACAUCCUGAUUUAUGGGCAUGCACAAAGAGUGAAUCCUAAAUUUCUCUGACUGUAUAUGAAAUUUUGGUCUACUGCCUGUGAAACACAAAAUGAUACAUGAAAUGAUGAAGUGCCAGAGGAGCUGAAGUCUACCCAAAAGAAAUACAGCCAGUAUUAUCUGAGGGCUGCAACUUUUGUUGUCUAAAGAAGAUCCAUCAUGUACGUCAUCAGGGAGUACACAGAAGCUGUGUGGGACAAAGCAUUUGAGGGUUAUUCACUCAGCAUGCAGAGCUGCAGAGCUACAGAGCUGCAAUCACCCUUUAACUUUGUGCCCAAAUGUUGUUCCUAUAUGUUUGGCAUUCUGAACCACAUUCUUACAUGAAUUACGAUUGUAGUAGUGACUACAAUGGUUACAGCCCAUCAAUAAGGAAAAAUACCCUCUUGGUUCUAAAAAGAUGCUUUGCAAUUUAUGUUAUAAGGGAUAAUGAAAUUUUGCAUUAAUCAGUAAAGACAGGAAGAAUGUCAGGUGAAAGACAACUGGUAAAUAGGGCAGAUUAUAAAAACAAUUUUACUUCUAAGAAUGAAACUGUUGAAAUAAUUAUUUUAUUUUGCUGCUAAAAAAUCUUAAACUGCUGAAAACACCAUCAUGGCUGGUGCAGAAACAAGAGAAGUUGAUUGUAGACUACCAGAAUAUCUACUAUCUGUACAUCUUCAUAUAGCCAUCACUUGAGCAUAACAGGAAAUUAAAUGCUAUUAUUUUCUAAGAUUCAUUUGUAUUUAAAGUAGCACAGAAACUGCAGUUAUUACCAAAAUAGAUUUUUUUUUUUUUUUUUAACUGAGAAAGCAAUUAAAGGAUUCACUGAAAAAAUACAUAGUUCCUUUUGUGGUCAAUGAUUCUUCAAACCAUUAAAUGUCAAAAUACUUUUCAUAGCUUUCUACCGAAUAGUUGAAAGGGAAAUCAUCCAUUGUAUGAUUAUUUUUAAGACAACAAUGAAACUGGAGAAAGAGAAUGAAUAUUUAUUUCCGCCCAAUUGCUUGUCUCCCAUCAUGAAAACAUCCUGUGGGCAACUCAUCAUUUGACCUUGAAAGCACUGCAUCAGAAUUCUUCAGUUGCUUUUCCUUAUCUACUAAAGGAAUUUUAUAAUUAGCAGGAGAUGUUUUAUUUUGUUAACAUGAAUGCACAGAAACUCUGAAGUGUAUCCUCUCUAUACCCUGUAAUUGAAAAGAUCUGAAAUUGCUUUUGAGUAUGAAAAAUAAUCAGUGUAUGUUAAGUGAGAAUUUCCUAGCUGAUUUUACAGUUCUUAAAGAAUAAUGUAAAUAGAACGAUGAAGAGAAAUAAUCAUCUAAGUAUGAUAUAAGUUCCUUUCACAGUGUAUUCAAAAUGUUUACGUUCUUAAAAUGAGAAACAACAGAUACUGUAGAGUUCAAACCUUAUGACUUUGUUAGUUGACAAAUACAUUACUGUGAUGAAAUGACAAUAGGAAGCAAAAGACUUGUAGGAUGGUUUGGUCAUUUUUUUUUGGAGAAAAAGAAAAAAAAAAGUAAAUUUCUUAGGAAAUCAGAGCUGAUACAGAAAGAUGUUUGUAUGUGGAAUAAGGUGUGUUGAGGCUGAAUGGAAUGUGUGAACCUGUGCCACAGGACUUGUCCUAGAAAAAGGUGCAAUGUUUGCUCUCAGUUGUAUAAGUAAAAGUUUUCAUGAACUGUUU